UCGAGAAUUUUUCACAAUGGGCGAAAGCCUGAUGGAGCGACGCCGCGUGGGGGAUGAAUGGCUUCGGCCCGUAAACCCCUGUCAUUAGCGAGCAAACGUUAUUAUUUAAAAGAUGAUAGCCUGAUAGUAGCGAAAGAGGAAGGGACGGCUAACUCUGUGCCAGCAGCCGCGGUAAUACAGAGGUCCCAAGCGUUGUUCGGAUUUACUGGGCGUAAAGGGUGCGUAGGUGGUGGGGUAAGUCGGAUGUGAAAUCUCCGGGCUCAACUCGGAAAGUGCAUUGGAAACUACCCUGCUCGAGGGUUGGAGGGGGGACUGGAAUACUUGUUGUAGCAGUGAAAUGCGUAGAUAUCAAGUGGAACACCAUUGCCGAAGGCGAGUCCCUGGACAACUCUUGACACUGGGGCACAAGAGCUAGGGGA
rnacentral:rRNA from 1 species